rnacentral:ncRNA from 1 species
UCAAUAACGUUGAACAGAAGAGUAGGUCACCAAAGUCUCAACAGAAAGCCCGGUCGAUGGAAACGGGUGUCCUUGGUUAACCGAAACACAUCUGUGAGUUGGUCGUCUGAAUCUAGUAGGACGACCCGGGGUAGCCCGUUAUCGCUGGAGUUGCUAGCAACUCGCUGAGGUUAGACCAGUGAUGGUUUAACAAACAGAGGUGGAACCACGAUGUGAUCGUCCUCUUA